CACGUAGGGCGCAAGCGUUGUCCGGAAUUACUGUGCGUAAAGAGCUCGUAGGUGGUUUGUCGCGUUGUUCGUGAAAUCUCACGGCUUAACUGUGAGCGUGCGGGCGAUACGGGCAGACUAGAGUACUGCAGGGGAGACUGGAAUUCCUGGUGUAGCGGUGGAAUGCGCAGAUAUCAGGAGGAACACCGGUGGCGAAGGCGGGUCUCUGGACAGUUCCUGACGCUGAGGCACGAAGGUCAGGGGAGCAAACGGG
rnacentral:rRNA from 1 species